rnacentral:rRNA from 1 species
UACGUAGGUGGCAAGCGUUGUCCGGAAUUAUUGGGCGUAAAGCGCGCGCAGGCGGUCCUUUAAGUCUGAUGUGAAAGCCCACGGCUCAACCGUGGAGGGUCAUUGGAAACUGGGGGACUUGAGUACAGAAGAGGAAAGCGGAAUUCCACGUGUAGCGGUGAAAUGCGUAGAGAUGUGGAGGAACACCAGUGGCGAAGGCGGCAUCCUGGACCGGUAUUGACGCUGAGGCGCGAAAGCUAGGGGAGCAAACGGG